AAGAAACAAUUAAUAAAAAAAGGUGAUUAUUAAAUGAAGCGCCGCCCAGUUUAACGACCGAGACAGAUGACCGAGCUAGUGUUCAAGAAAGCAAGGAACGAGAAAUUAAGUAAAGCUUACAUCUAUGACAUGAAGUUUUUCUCUCGUAAACGACGUGUCCCAAGGAAAUGAAAUUGCCCUUUGACGAUUAGACGUAGCAGUUACUUCUAAAAAAAUCCGAUAUAUGAAGCAAGAAAUUCCAAUCUCAAUAUUAUACUCAAUACCAGAUCGUAAAAUUGGCAGGUUUUAGUUGUUUUCUCUGGCAGAUACGGCUAUCAGACGAUAAACCGACAAGCAUUUCCUUAAUUGGAUUUUUAUGCUCGGAUUCUUGCCAUCCGUCACUCGACGACAAUGUGCUAUCGCCAGUCGGAAUAGAAUGUCUACGUGCCUUCAUGAUAUCCUCUGUAAUUUAUACCUCGGAAGCGUGCUUGCAGUGACACUGAUUUAAUGAUGUUUGUUCCGACAAUGAAGGCCCCAGUUGUUUGUGAAUGUGAACAAGGUAAUUUAAUGACAAUGAAAACGUGUUUCUUCACCCUUAAAUAUGAGUUUAAUUAAAACUUACCCAAGAU